UGAUCGGUCACGUACUUCUCAGGAGUUUAUGUCGAAGUUUUACGGAAAUCGGGGAGUUUGAACAACCUUCUAGAUGUGAGGCAUGGCCAUCACCGGUAACUCUGACAGAGAUCAUACAACUCCAAAGGAGGCCCAUUUGAAA